ACAAUCGAAUUGGGGGGGACCUGGGGGGGCUGCAACACCAACCCUCCGGGGAAACUCGGGGGGGGCCCUCACGGGGUGGUAAAAAAGUGUAGGAUGAACAAUGGACGAUCCGCAGCGAAGACCCUACCGGCGAGAGCCCACGGGUACCGUUCACAGACUAAGUGAUUGUGGGCGGGGUGUCAGGCCCCGUCUAAGAUAUAGUCGGUCUCUGCUCGAAAGGGCAGAGCCUAGCGCGUCCGUAGGUGAACCUGCGGAAGGAUCAUUAAAGAAUCGCCCCGUUUUUUGAAAUGGGUUCUAUUCCCAAACCGUGUAUACAUACCUUUGUUGCUUUGGCAGGCCGCCUUCUAUGCGUCGGCUCCGGCUGACUGCGCCUGCCAGAAACCCAAACUCUUUUGUUUAGUGAUGUCUGAGUACUAUAUAAUAGUGGAAACUUUCAACAACGGAUGUCUUGGUUCUGGGAUCGAUGAAAAACGCACCGAAAUGCGAUAAGUAAUGUGAAUUGCGGAGUUCACUGAAUCAGGGGAGGUUUGAACGCACAUUGCGCCCCUUGGGGUUCCGAGGGGCAUGCCUGUUCUAGCGUGAUUAUAACCACUCAAGCCUCUCCUUGGUCUUGGGGUUCGCGGGUUCUCGGCUCUUAAAAUCAGUGGCGGUGCCGUCUGGCUCU
rnacentral:rRNA from 1 species